GAAUUUUUAGUUUAUUAGAAUAAUUCACUUACAAUGAAUAGGUUGAAAAAUUCU
rnacentral:tRNA from 2 species